AACGAACGCUGGCGGCAUGCCUAACACAUGCAAGUCGAACGAGACCUUCGGGUCUAGUGGCGCACGGGUGCGUAACGCGUGGGAACCUGCCCUUAGGUUCGGAAUAACUCCCCGAGAGGGGUGCUAAUACCGGAUAAUGUCUUCGGACCAAAGAUUUAUCGCCUUUGGAUGGGCCCGCGUUGGAUUAGCUAGUUGGUAGGGUAAAAGCCUACCAAGGCGACGAUCCAUAGCUGGUCUGAGAGGAUGAUCAGCCACACUGGGACUGAGACACAGCCCAGACUCCUACGGGAGGCAGCAGUGGGGAAUAUUGGACAAUGGGCGAAAGCCUGAUCCAGCAAUGCCGCGUGAGUGAUGAAGGCCUUAGGGUUGUAAAGCUCUUUUACCCGGGAUGAUAAUGACAGUACCGGGAGAAUAAGCUCCGGCUAACUCCGUG
rnacentral:rRNA from 1 species